rnacentral:rRNA from 1 species
GAUGAACGCUGGCGGCGUGCUUAACACAUGCAAGUCGAACGGUGAAGCAGAGCUUGCUCUGUGGAUCAGUGGCGAACGGGUGAGUAACACGUGAGCAAUCUGCCCCUGACUCUGGGAUAAGCGCUGGAAACGGCGUCUAAUACUGGAUACGAGCCGUGAAGGCAUCUUCAACGGUUGGAAAGAUUUUUCGGUCAGGGAUGAGCUCGCGGCCUAUCAGCUUGUUGGUGAGGUAAUGGCUCACCAAGGCGUCGACGGGUAGCCGGCCUGAGAGGGUGACCGGCCACACUGGGACUGAGACACGGCCCAGACUCCUACGGGAGGCAGCAGUGGGGAAUAUUGCACAAUGGGCGCAAGCCUGAUGCAGCAACGCCGCGCGAGGGAUGACGGCCUUCGGGUUGUAAACCUCUUUUAGCAGGGAAGAAGCGAAAGUGACGGUACCUGCAGAAAAAGCGCCGGCUAACUACGUGCCAGCCGCCGCCGUAAUAC